rnacentral:tRNA from 2 species
GGGGUCAUAGCUCAAUUGGUAGAGCGCUUGCUUUGCACGCAAGAGGUCAGGAGUUCGAUUCUCCUUGGCUCCAUCA